UACGUAGGGUGCAAGCGUUGUCCGGAAUUAUUGGGCGUAAAGAGCUCGUAGGCGGUCUGUCGCGUCGGCUGUGAAAACUCGGGGCUCAACCCCGAGCUUGCAGUCGAUACGGGCAGGCUAGAGUUCGGCAGGGGGAGACUGGAAUUCCUGGUGUAGCGGUGAAAUGCGCAGAUAUCAGGAGGAACACCGGUGGCGAAGGCGCCACUCUGGGCCGAAACUGACGCUGAGGAGCGAAAGCGUGGGUAGCAAACAGG
rnacentral:rRNA from 1 species